GUGUCGUAGCAACGUCGAUAUCUCCAUCUACGACGCGAUUGUUCACUGCAAGAAAUCGAUCGGACAGAGUUAAAGGUGAUUGAACUACCAAGAUUAA